rnacentral:rRNA from 1 species
GACGAACGCUGGCGGCGUGCUUAACACAUGCAAGUCGAACGGAAAGGCCCUGCUUUUGUUGGGUGCUCGAGUGGCUAACGGGUGAGUAACACGUGAGUAACCUGCCCUUUACUUUGGGAUAACUUCAGUAAACUUGGGCUAAUACCGGAUAUGAGCUCCUGCUGCAUGGUGGGGGUUGGAUAGUUUCGGCGGUUGGGGAUGGACUCGCGGCUUAUCAGCUUGUUGGUGGGGUAGUGGCUUACCAAGGCUUUGACGGGUAGCCGGCCUGAGAGGGUGACCGGACACAUUGGGACUGAGAUACGGGCCAGACUCAUACGGGAGGCAGGAGUGGGGAAUAUUGCACAAAGGGCGGAAGCCUGAUGCAGCAACGACGCGUGCGGGAUGACGGCCUUCGGGUUGUAAACCGCUUUCGACUGUGACGAAGCGUGAGUGACGGUAAUGGGUAAAGAAGCACCGGCUAACUACGUG